GGAACCCAUAUUUCCAGUGGUUUGAGCAUUGGACAACAACUCUGGAGACCAGGGUUCACAUCCCUUAUUGGCCAUGAAACCUGCUGACAAGUCUCGCUAAGUCUCAGAAGACAUUUGAAAACAUCUUCUGAACAAAUCUUGCCAGGAAAACUUUGGGAUACGUUUGCCUUAGGCAAACCUGCUGCCUAAGCUCAGUGACACAUCCAUGAAGCACCAAAGAAGGAAAGAGUUCUGUGAGAAGCUUGGAAUGUAACAUUUUUACCUUUUUCUCCAAAGACUUGCAUGGUUGCUUUGCUGAGAAAAAUUUAGAAUUCAGAUUAUGCUAUUAUCUAUUGUGUUGGAAUCUAUCUCCAGUCUUGGGGAGAGGAAGCACUACUACUACUACACCAAUUCCUGUCUCCCCAAAUUGGAUUUUAAAUUGCAUUUAUAGAGAAGUCUACAAGAACUGAGAACCAUCCAAUUCAACCUGAAACAUCCCAAGGGAAAGAAAGCAACAAUGUCUGAUUGCCCAAAUGAGAAUGAGCAAUCAACAGUUAAGCAGUCAAAAGAGACUAAAAGGCCCAAGUAGAAAAUAUGCAUGCCAGAAACAUCUAUAUAUAUAAUAAAAGUGAAAUCGGAGUAUGUAUCAGCGUUUUGAUUGGCCUGGCGGAAUAUGUGCUCGCGUUUUGAUUGGCCGCCACUAUCCCAGGCCACUGAGACCAACAGGAAUGACGAAUCUGCACCAAACUUGGCACACUUCAUCCCCACGAUGCACUUUAUGGCCUGCUGCCAUUGGGGGGAGGAUGGACCACAGAUGAUGGGAUUUGCAGUACUUUCAAACACUUUAACUCCCACAGACUACUGCAAUGCCCACCAAUGAUAGAAAUGGACCAAACUUGGCACACAGAACUCCUGUCGACCCCUUUACAUCCUGAUGUAUAUUGGGGCAGGAUGGACCAAGGAUGAUGGAAUUUGCAGUACCUUCCCUCACUUCUUGAGACCACAGCAACUGCCACAAAUCACACAACUGAACCAAACCAGGCACACAUAUCCCAAAUGACACACUUCACAUGCUGCAGCAGUUUGACGGAAGGUGGACCAAGGAUUAUGGGAUUUGCAGUACAUUCAUCCAAUUCACCUCCCACAAACCACUGUGAUGCCCAUGAAUGACAAAACUGUAUCAAACUUGACACGCAGGUGCAGGGUAGCCCACUUUACAUCCUGGUGCAGUUUGGGGGAAGAGGGACCAUGGAUGAGGGGACUUACAAUAUCUUCAGUCACUUCCUGGGACUACUGUGACCCCCACCAAUGACUGAUCAAGACCAAACUUAGCACAUAGAGCCACCAUGGCCCACUCUACAUCUUGGUGAGAUUUGAAAGAGCUUGGACCUUGGAUGAUGGGACUUGCAGUAUAUUCAUUCACUUCCUGAGACCACUGUCACCCCCAUCAAUGUCUCAUCAAGACCAAACUUCAAACAGAGAACACCCAUGACUCACUCUACACCCAGGUGCAGUUUGGAGGAUGAUGGACCAUGGACGAUGGGACUUCCAAUACCUUCACUCACUUCCUGAGAGCACCGCGACCCACACAAAUGACUGAUCAAGACCAAACAUGGUACAUGGAGCCCUCAUGACCUAUUCUACAUACUGGCUCUGUUUGGAGGGGGAUGGACACUGGACGAUGGGACUUGCAUAUGGGAGUUGGAGCUCACCCGCACCCACUGAACCCAGCUGACAUUGGAUAUAGGCUACACUUGGAACACAGGCAAACAAUGUCUUUCUCAAAUGACCCGGGCAUCGCCGGGUCUCCAAGCUAGUAUGGGAAUAAAAUUAAGACUAAAUAGAAGAGUUGAGAGUGUUUGGCUUUGAGAAAAAGCAUAGAUAGGAUAAGCAUGGGACCAGUUUUAUAGAAUAGAGAUAACCAAUGGGAUGCAGAUGUAUAGCAAUGACAGGAAAGGAAUGAUAAGCUUUUGUAACACCAGGGCUUCAUGGGGGUUCUGAUGGAAAAUACACACAAAAUGUGUACAGUGGGAUAACUUGCUUUCAAAAACACAUAUUGGGGAGAACUGUAUAUCCAAGUGUGUUUAUUACAGUACGUGAAAAAAGCCAUUUAUGAGAGUGCCUAUGAAUUUUCAAGUAGAUUUUUUAUUUUUAUUUUAAAAACCAAA